rnacentral:lncRNA from 1 species
AGGAAAUAGACAACAGAUGAGAAAUAAAUGCAUAAUAUAAUACCCAAGAAGGAGACUAAAGUUGGGUAAGGGGAUGAGGCAUAAAAAGAUGGUUAUUUUUGAUGGAUUAGUCAGGGAAGAGUGUUCCAAAGAUGUGGCCUUUGGGCAGAGACCUUGAUGAACUGAGCUGAGCCAUGUAAAUAUCUGGGGAAGAGCCCUGAGUAAGAGGGAACAGCACAUGCUCAGGCCGAGUUAGGGCAUGCUUGACAAGUGGAGGAAAGGUGAUUCCAUCAAUGGAGCUGUGGCCCAGUGGGCAAAGGGGAGGGGGGCAAAGGUGAGGUUGGAGUAGCAGCCGUGGGCAAACCAUGCAGACAGUGGGGAGUCCUGUGGAUUUGUUCCCAUGGCGAUGAUGAGGCAUGGAAGUGUCGAAAUGGGGGAGCUGCAUGGUCCUGUUUAUGAUUUUAAAAGUUCACUCUGGGUGCCUUGCUGAUAUGUGGAGAAUAAACUUGGGUGGACGAGGGUGAGAAUGGGUCUGUGUGUGAGUGACAGUCACUUUCCAGGCUAACAUACCUGUAACACUCGAUUCCUAUGCCAACACAGGAGAUAGGUAAUCAUCUCCAUGGGACAGAAGAGUCUGCAACUCAAAUCAGUUGAGCAACCUGGCCCAGGUGACUCAGGAAACUGACAGGAGUGCUGGCAUUUGAACCCAGGGCUGCUUCCCUCCAGCUCUCUCCUUUAAUCCCCUGAACAGCCUGACUGUGGAUGCCUUGCUUUUGAGAGCCUCUGUGUUGCCUCUGUGUUCUCCUCUCUGCUUGCGCUCUUUCCUUCCUGGGGCAAUGGAGACAAGAUGAGUUUGCCUCCUCUCAUGAUUGUAUGUCCCAGCUACUUUGUGCCUUCUCACCUACAUUUGCUAUCUCCCUCCCAGGUGCCCACAGUGGUCAUCAGAGAACAGGUGCACCAAUAAGGGGAGGCUGGCUCUCUGAGCACACUCCUCGCCCAUCCUGGGACUGCUGCUUCUCCUAAGACACCACAAGGCAGAGCUCCUUCCACAUUCCUGACUCUCCAGUCCUGUCUACCCAGGGAAGUGUGGUUUCUUUAGGUUUGCUCGCCCCUGGAGCCCAAAUCCUGCAAUUAGCUAGUAUUGUCUUCUGGUGAAAUAGUAAUUGUUACGGGUUCUGUUUCAGAAUUAUGAUAAUCUCUGAUGAAAUCAUCCCAGUCCACACAAAAUGGGAAAGAAGGGCCCUUUCUGGUAAUUGAUGAAACCAAUUGGCCAUGUUGCAGCCCGAGCAGAGUGUGGAGGGAGCCAUGGCCUUGCACAUUUCCGUUGGAUCUGUAUCAUCUCUGCCAUUCUUGUUCUCUUUCUUUGGUGAGGAAGCACCAGGGCCAACUUUCUGCCAUGGCUUCCACUUGAACCUGGCUGCCCUUUGUAGCAACACCCGGGGGUCCUCCUGAAUGCAACAAUACGGCUUCGUCAGAAAGAGUUUGGCCUCUGGAAUCUGGCUGUCUCCUUGAGAAUCCUGGCUCUAUAACUCACUAACUCUAUCCUACUGGGAGGGUUUUUGGUGUGUGUCUCAGUUUUCUCAUCUGUGGUAUGUAAUGUGCACUGUAAUGAGAGCUCCUUUUGCUGUGUUGCUGUUCACUGUAUCAGGGAAGAGCCCUGGUUGGCUGCAGGGUCACUUUCUUCAAGCUCACAAGCCUGGGGGCACUCCGUGUAGUUGCUUUCAAAUACUGCCUGUUCAGGUCAAAAAGGAACAGAGGAGGAGAGCUGCCUGAGGUGGUCCUGCCCUGCAGACUUGUCCCUCGUCUCUCGUCCUCACCGGGGCAUGGAGCUCCAUCAGAGUAUUCUCGCCUCCCUCGUGGGGUCAUACUUCCAUCUCAGGAGGGUGGUUGUGCUCCCUUCACAGGUGUGAGGAGCUUUCUUUACUCUUCUCCCUCCUGUGCUGGAUUCAAGAGAGUAUUUCACCACUGUUGCCCCAUCUUUCACUUGGCAUCUGCAAAUCUCAAUCAGCCAAGAAGAUUUUGUCAAAUUUACUUCUUGAAGUUUGUUUAUGAGCCAAUUUUCUCAUUGACUUUGCUUUAUCAGCCUCCUCGAUGCCU